rnacentral:lncRNA from 10 species
GUUUCGUUCAGUUGGGCAAAUCAGAUGCAUUGUGUGGAAGCCCUUUUCUGCUGUAAGCCAUAUAAACCUUUUCUGCCAACUUCUUAUUCACCCCAAGAGGGCUACUUAAAGGAGGGUGAAGACAUGCUAAGCAUUGAGGGAUUACGGGGGAAAUGUGGCUGAUUCUUCAAAAGGGAAUGAAGACAACCGGAGCGGCGACCCUGGUGCUCUCCCUUCAGUAAGAAUCCUGUUGGCCAGGCGCCGUGGCUCAUGCCUGUAAUCCCAGCACUUUGAGAAGCCGAGGCAGGUGGAUGAGGACUGAGGCAGGCUUGGAGAUGCUGGAUCCUUCAGCCAGCAGACUGGUCAACCCCGAAGGUCUGUUUUUCCCUCCCCUGCUUGUGGCAGGCCUCUCCAAGAGGCAUAACCCUUUGGGGUGCCCUGAAGGAUCCCCUAGGCUUCCCCAAGCCUGCCAAGCGCCCAGUACUUGAAGAGAAGCCAGGCCUUUUAGCACUGCCAUCAGGUUGUCACUCUGUUGUCCAGGCUGGAGUGCAGUGGCACAAUCUUGGCUCACUGUAACCUCCGCCUCCGGGGUUUAAGUGAUUCUCCUGCCUCACUCAGCCUCCCAAGAACCUGGGACUACAGGCACCCGCCACCGCCCCCCACUGAUUUUUGUAUUUUUAUUAGAGAUAGGGUUUCAUCAUGUUGGCCAUGUGGAUCUUGAACUCCUGACCUCAGGUGAUCUGCGCACCUUGGUCUCUCAAAGUGCCGGGAUUACUGUGGCGUGAGCCACUGCGCCUGGCCUAAAUGAGAUCAUAUCAAUGAAAAUCUUCUCGACUUUCCAAGAAUUGCACAGAUAUCUGUCUGUUGGUGCUUGGUUAAUCCAAUUCUGCCUGCAAAGGCUGGUUGGUGUGGUUGGGGGAACUGACUCCGACUGAUGGUUGGAUGUGAGCCGAUGCUGCGGUUUCCUCCUCUUCGCAGUUCCUUUGCAGUUAGAGCCACAGGAGUGGGCAGCUCAGCCUGUGUCUUUGCUGAACUAAGGGAAGCUCCACCGAGCCUGGAGAACAAGGUGGUUUCUGCCCAGUUGGUGGCGUCACCCUCCUUGAAGGCCCCUGCCUGGCCUGCAGCACUGAUGUCCAGGCUGUGAGUACAAAUGUGGCUUCCGUCUGUCUGAAACGUGGUCCCAUAGAAACUUUUUCACGUUUGGGGUCUGUGCUGAACUAGAUAUUUGUGGAAAGUCAUUUUGUAGACAGUAGGCCUCGCAGUUGUUCAAUUAUGUGCGUAUUAAAAUACAAUAAAAAUGUCUAACUUUUAC